CGCUGGCGGCGUGCCUAAACACAUGCAAGUCGAGCGGGGUCCAUCCGGUAGCAAUACCGGGGAAGACCUAGCGGCGAACGGGUGAGUAACACGUGAGAAACCUGCCCCGAAGUCUGGGAUAACCCGAGGAAACUCGAGCUAAUACCGGAUGUCUUCUUCUGAUCGCAUGGUCGGAUGAAGAAAGAUUUAUCGCUUCGGGAGGGUCUCGCGGCCUAUCAGCUAGUUGGCGGGGUAACGGCCCACCAAGGCGUCGACGGGUAGCUGGUCUGAGAGGACGAUCAGCCACACUGGGACUGAGACACGGCCCAGACUCCUACGGGAGGCAGCAGUGGGGAAUAUUGCGCAAUGGGCGAAAGCCUGACGCAGCAACGCCGCGUGCGGGAUGAAGGCCUUCGGGUUGUAAACCGCUUUCAGUGGGGACGAAUUCAGACGGUACCCACAGAAGAAGCCCCGGCCAACUACGUG
rnacentral:rRNA from 1 species